rnacentral:rRNA from 1 species
UACGUAGGGUGCAAGCGUUUGUCCGGAAUUAUUGGGCGUAAAGAGCUCGUAGGCGGUCUGUCGCGUCUGCUGUGAAAACUCGGGGCUUAACCCCGGGCCUGCAGUGGGUACGGGCAGACUAGAGUGCGGUAGGGGGAGACUGGAAUUCCUGGUGUAGCGGUGAAAUGCGCAGAUAUCAGGAGGAACACCGAUGGCGAAGGCAGGUCUCUGGGCAUUAACUGACGCUGAGGAGCGAAAGCGUGGGGAGCGAACAGG